rnacentral:tRNA from 2 species
GGAGAGAUGGCCGAGUUGGUCGAAGGCGGUCGCCUGCUAAGCGAUUGUACAGGCUAAAAACCUGUACCGCGGGUUCGAAUCCCGCUCUCUCCGCCA